CCUACGGGGGCAGCAGUAGGGAAUCCUUCACAAUGGGCGAAAGCCUGAUGGAGCAACGCCGCGUGCAGGAUGAAGGCCUUCGGGUUGUAAACUGCUUUUAUAAGCGAGAAAUAUGAUGGUAACUUAUGAAUAAGGAUCGGCUAACUACGUGCCAGCAGCCGCGGUCAUACGUAGGAUCCGAGCAUUAUCCGGAGUGACUGGGUGUAAAGAGUUGCGUAGGUGGCAUAAUAAGUAGCUAGUGAAAUCUGGUGGCUCACCCAUUCAGACUAUUAGCUAAACUGUUAAGCUCGAGACCGUUAGGGGUAACUGGAAUUUGUAGUGUAGGAGUGAAAUCCGUAGAUAUUAGAAGGAACACCAAUAGCGUAGGCAGGUUGCUGGGACGGUUCUGACACUAAGGCACGAAAGCGUAGGGAGCAAACGGGAUUAGAUACCCUAGUAGUC
rnacentral:rRNA from 1 species